UACGGAGGGUGCAAGCGUUAAUCGGAAUUACUGGGCGUAAAGCGUGCGCAGGCGGUCUUGCAAGACAGAUGUGAAAUCCCCGGGCUUAACCUGGGAACUGCAUUUGUGACUGCAAGGCUGGAGUGCGGCAGAGGGGGAUGGAAUUCCGCGUGUAGCAGUGAAAUGCGUAGAUAUGCGGAGGAACACCGAUGGCGAAGGCAAUCCCCUGGGCCUGCACUGACGCUCAUGCACGAAAGCGUGGGGAGCAAACAGG
rnacentral:rRNA from 1 species